rnacentral:pre_miRNA from 1 species
AAAGAGACAAACCCUAAGCCGUGUCCAACGUUUGACCGUCCAUCUUAUUUGAAAAAAUAUAAAAAAAAUUAAAAAGACAAGUCACGCAUAAAGUAUUAAUCAUGUUUUAUCAUCUUGCAACAAUGAAAAUACCAAUUAUAAAAAAAUUUUAUAUAAGACGGACAGUCAAACGUUGGACACGGAAGCCCAAGGUUUGCUUUUUU